rnacentral:lncRNA from 1 species
GGGGAGGGCAGUGACUUACUGAAUAGCAGCUCUGUGCACACCACACAUUGGAUGCAGUGGUGCAUGUCCAGUGUCAGGCACAAGGCCAGGGUGAUAGGGAACAGGGGAAGGGGAUGUUACCAGAACCUCUGCAGUAAGUCCUAGUCUCCUGCGAGCCAAGGUGAAUUACAGGAAAGGUAGAAAAAUGAGACUGAGAAGAAGCUGAGCUUUGGGUCUGAUCAGUGCUGCUCUGGGCAGCAAAGACGAAAGCCCGCAGUUUACUGCACCUUUUAUUCAGUACAUCAGGAGAAACAGAUGUAACAAAUGAAUAUGUAGAUUUCAGUACUUCACAUUGGGAUAAACAAGGUGUAACAAAAGACUGGGGGGGGGGCAGCGGAAAUCUAAGAACAAUGAGGAACUAUGCAGAUGAAGAUUUGGUUCCUCCCAGGGUGUCUCCCACAGGUGUGGUCUUGUCCUGGAGCUUUACAGCAUCACGGGAUCAUUGAGAUCUCAGUUGUGACCCGAGGCCAAAAUGGAAUUAUGUCUUGGAAUGCCAUAGCUGGCCGCUAUCAGAAGUCCCUUCUAUCCUGAAGAAUCUGGCUCUAGGUUUUUCUGACAAUGAGGACAGAAGCACAGCCUAGGCAGUGUGAACCGG